ACUCCUACGGGAGGCAGCAGUGGGGAAUAUUGGACAAUGGGCGAAAGCCUGAUCCAGCCAUGCCGCGUGUGUGAAGAAGGCCUUUUGGUUGUAAAGCACUUUAAGCGAGGAGGAGGCUACUUGGAUUAAUACUCUAGGAUAGUGGACGUUACUCGCAGAAUAAGCACCGGCUAACUCUGUGCCAGCAGCCGCGGUAAUACAGAGGGUGCGAGCGUUAAUCGGAUUUACUGGGCGUAAAGCGUGCGUAGGCGGCUUUUUAAGUCGGAUGUGAAAU
rnacentral:rRNA from 1 species